rnacentral:rRNA from 1 species
UACAGAGGUCUCAAGCGUUGUUCGGAUUCAUUGGGCGUAAAGGGUGCGUAGGUGGCGCCGUAAGUCAGGUGUGAAUUUCGGAGCUUAACUCCGAAACUGCAUUUGAUACUGCGGUGCUUGAGGACUGGAGAGGAGACUGGAAUUUACGGUGUAGCAGUGAAAUGCGUAGAGAUCGUAAGGAAGACCAGUGGCGAAGGCGGGUCGUCUGGACAGUUCCUGACACUGAGCACGAAGGCCAGGGGAGCAAACGGG